AACAUGCUUUGGAGCUCUGAAAUCUUCUUUGUUGGAGACAAGUUUCUCUAUGCAUCUCAUAGCAGUUUUGUCACUAUGGCGCUAAGACGGAACUUGGUCGGGUGUACUAGUUUUUGUUUUCCCCCUGUGUUCUUGUGCUGGAUAGCUGCCAUGGACUACAGUAUAGAUAUCGGAUCCUCUAGUUUUUCCACAAAAUGCAAGUUGAGCAGCAGAACUGUUUCAUCAAAGUCAUUACACAAAACUGCUCAGAUUCGACUCCUCAGCCGCCAUCCUGAGGUGUAUGAGCCAUGUGAUGACUCAUUUGCCCUAGUGGAUGCUCUCCUAGCUGAUAGAGCAAAUUUGUUACAGCACAAGCCAAGGUUAUGCAUGGAAGUGGGCUGUGGGAGUGGCUAUGUGAUCACAUCUUUGGCCCUCAUGCUCGGGGAAGAAAACUCUGGAGUCCAUUAUUUUGCAACUGACAUCAACCCACAUGCUGUGGACGUGACUCGUGCGACACUUGAAGCUCAUGGUGUACAUGCAGAGAUCAUCACCACGGAUAUUGCCUCCGGGCUUCACAAACGCCUUGCUGGUAUGGUAGAUGUGGUGGUCGUUAAUCCUCCUUAUGUCCCAACACCUGAAGAAGAAGUUGGCUGUGAGGGGAUAACUGCUUCUUGGGCUGGAGGAGAGAAUGGACGCAAGGUGAUAGAUAGGAUCCUUCCUGUUGUUGAUGAGCUGCUUUCAGGUAAGGGUUGGCUUUAUAUGGUCACCCUCACAGCCAACAAUCCUUCCCAGAUUUGCCGUUUGAUGAGAGAAAAGGGGUAUGCAUCUCGAAUCAUUGUCCAGAGGUCGACUGAGGAGGAGAGCCUCCAUGUUAUCAAGUUUUGGCAUGAAGAUAUUGCAGAGAUGGAGGGGGCCAGAGCUGUUGCGUCCGGACCUGAAUCAUGGUUAUCACAAUUUCCUCUCAAGUCCUUCUGGCGUGGUGGUACUGGGAGUAUUGGCUGAAUUGAGGAUAAUGAAUGCAUGGACUUCUAAACUUGGUAUCUGUAGGAUCUAAGGUUAUUCUCCCUCGAAAUGAUCAUGAGGAGGGCUAAACUCAGGAUGGAUGAUUAUGGUUCCAGCACAGAGUCAAGGUAUCAUAUGGCACGCAAAUAUUUAGAUGCACUGCAGUGGGCUCAAAGGCCUAAUGAACGUUGAUAUAUCCUAUUCAUUUGAUACCAGCAGGCUGGUUACUAUGCAUGGACUUUGGAGUUCAUUUUGCUUACUCUUUACCUUAUCUGACAAAUACUGGCUGGGCAUUCGGUGGCUCAUACAUUUCUUCACAGCCAACUUUAUUUAUGUCAUGGUUGAGUUUCACAAUGUCAUGGUGGCCUACAGCUGGCUUUUCUUGCUCGGAUGCAAUAUUCAUAAUCUACUCACUAAUUGUCUCAAGUACUCAUAUUUCCUUAUAGCUGAUAAAAGGAUGUCUGCGACUCUACUAGUGUUAUAUCAUACCAUGAUACAGGUAAUACCAGUUAAAUGGAGUAGAAGGGGUCUGUCAUUAUGUGCUAAAGUUCUCCUUAAGCGUCAAUGGCUGCUUAACAGGCCUCAAGUUGCAUUGUGGGUGGCCCUUUGUUGCUUUAGAAUCCAAUCUAUUUUCAAGUUGCUGGCUGCUGUUGCUGUUUUUACUAUAUCUACUAACUGGAAUGGGUGCCAACAUGAUUAUACUACAUUGUGGACCAUGGAUGUACAGCCACAGUUGGGAAGCACUUACUGGAGUUUUGAAUACAAUGGUUUGGUUUUAUUCCUCCUGCAGCUGACUCAACUGUAUUGUUUGUUGCAGCAAAGCUUCAACGGGGGCACUGCAUCCUAUCGACGGCUUAAUUUCAGUUACUCUUCUUUAUUGUCCCCUCGUUACAACUAUGAUCAGCUCCUCAUAUGGGAUUUUGGCUUAAUGUGGACAUCUAUUUUUCAGUACGGUAGCAUACUUAGAGGGGUUCUUUUGGAGUGUAAUAUGUACUACGUGCUUUAUUGGGAUGUCUGAUGUUGGGUUUUUCAGCAUCAGAGCGUUCAGUUCAGUUGUACAUUUUUUAUGGUAACUUUGUAAACAGCCUUCUUUGUUGAAAACAGCUCAUGCUCCUCUGUUUACCAAAAAAAGAAAAAAAUGAUCUC